rnacentral:rRNA from 1 species
CGCACGGGUGAGUAACACGUAUCCAACCUGCCGUCUACUCUUGGCCAGCCUUCUGAAAGGAAGAUUAAUCCAGGAUGGCAUCAUGAGUUCACAUGUCCGCAUGAUUAAAGGUAUUUUCCGGUAGACGAUGGGGAUGCGUUCCAUUAGAUAGUAGGCGGGGUAACGGCCCACCUAGUCAACGAUGGAUAGGGGUUCUGAGAGGAAGGCCCCCCACAUUGGAACUGAGACACGGUCCAA